CUUUGCUGGCAGCGGUUAGGGCAAUGUACUCUGCCUCUGUCGAGGACAGAGCCACCAGCGGCUGGCGCUUACUGCUCCAGGACACAGCAGCCCCAUGGAGCAAAAACGCAUACCCGGAGGUAGAGCGCCUUGAGUCCUGGUCGCCCGCCCAGUCCGCAUCCGAGUACCCAUGAAGUUCCUGUGACACAGCAGCGCCAUAGUGAAGCUGCAAAUGCAAGGUCCGGGGUUCUCGAGGAACUGGGAGACCAUCCCAACAGCAUAGGCGAGAUCUGGUCGCGUUCCCAGCAUCAAAUAAACAAGACUUCCCACAGCUUGACGAUAUGGCACCGUGGCCAUGUACUCUCGUUCUUCCUCUGUGACAGGGGCCAUGUCACGGCUGAGUUUGUGAUUGACCUCAAGAGGUGUGGCCACGGAAGAGCAGUCCAGCAUAUUGAAGCGUUCCAAGAUCUAGCUCGCCCAGGUGGCGGGUUUUUGCACCGAGAAUGCAGUCGUCAACGUACACAGCAACCAGGAGAAAAUCGUCACCACACUUGUACAGGUACACGUUUCCUUCCACUGCAAGAGGAACACACCCCAGGCUCUUGAAGAACGCAUCAAUGCGUUCAAACCAAACCCUCGGGGAUUGUUUAAGCCCAUACAGGGCACGAUUCAGCUUGCAAACAAGAUGUUCCUCACCAGGUUUGACGAAUCCAGGUGGUUGCGUGACGUAGACCUCCUCGUUCAACUUGCCAUGCAGGAAAGUAGUGCGAACGUCCAACUGGUGCAGUUCCAGG